GGCGAACGGGUGAGUAACGCGUGGGUAACCUGCCUCUGAAUCUGGAAUAACCCGCCGAAAGGCGGACUAAUACCGGAUAUUGUCCCGGAGUCGCAUGACACUGGGAUGAAAGAUGACCUCUUCACGAAAGUUGUCGUUCAGGGAGGGGCUCGCGUACCAUUAGCUAGUUGGUAGGGUAAUGGCCUACCAAGGCGACGAUGGUUAGCUGGUCUGAGAGGAUGAUCAGCCACACUGGAACUGAAACACGGUCCAGACUCCUACGGGAGGCAGCAGUGAGGAAUUUUGCGCAAUAGGGGAAACCCUGACGCAGCAACGCCGCGUGAGUGAAGAAGGCCUUCGGGUCGUAAAGCUCUGUCAAGUGGGACAAAAUCCUGCGGGUAAAUAGCCCGCUGGAGUGAUGGUACUGCUAGAGGAAGCACCGGCUAACUCCGUGCCAGCAGCCGCGGUAAUACGGAGGGUGCAAGCGUUGUUCGGAAUUACUGGGCGUAAAGCGCGUGCAGGCGGUUCGGUAAGUCAGAUGUGAAAGCCCUGGGCUCAACCCAGGAAGUGCAUUUGAUACUGCCGUGCUAGAGUAU
rnacentral:rRNA from 1 species